GCACCCGUAGCUCAACUGGAUAGAGUACCUGACUACGAAUCAGGCGGUUAGAGGUUCGAAUCCUCUCGGGUGUACAA
rnacentral:tRNA from 2 species